CAUGCAAGUAGGACGCACAGUCUAUACCGUAGCUUGCUACACCAUAGGCUGUGAGUUGCGAACGGGUGAGUAACGCGUAGGUAACCUGCCUAUUAGAGGGGGAUAACUAUUGGAAACGAUAGCUAAUACCGCAUAACAGUAUGUAACACAUGUUAGAUGCUUGAAAGAUGCAAUUGCAUCGCUAGUAGAUGGACCUGCGUUGUAUUAGCUAGUAGGUAGGGUAAUGGCCUACCUAGGCAACGAUACAUAGCCGACCUGAGAGGGUGAUCGGCCACACUGGGACUGAGACACGGCCCAGACUCCUACGGGAGGCAGCAGUAGGGAAUCUUCGGCAAUGGGGGGAACCCUGACCGAGCAACGCCGCGUGAGUGAAGAAGGUUUUCGAAUCGUAAAGCUCUGUUGUUAAGGAAGAACGAGUGUGAGAAUGGAAAGUUCAUACUGUGACGGUACUUAACCAGAAAGGGACGG
rnacentral:rRNA from 1 species